rnacentral:rRNA from 1 species
AACGAACGCUGGCGGCAGGCCUAACACAUGCAAGUCGAACGCUCGUAGCAAUACGAGAGUGGCAGACGGGUGAGUAACACGUGGGAACCUUCCCUAUGGUUCGGAAUAGCUCAGGGAAACUUGAGGUAAUGCCGGAUAAGCCCUUACGGGGAAAGAUUUAUCGCCAUUGGAUGGGCCCGCGUCGGAUUAGCUAGUUGGUGAGGUAACGGCUCACCAAGGCGACGAUCCGUAGCNGGUCUGAGAGGAUGAUCAGCCACACUGGGACUGAGACACGGCCCAGACUCCUACGGGAGGCAGCAGUGGGGAAUAUUGGACAAUGGGCGCAAGCCUGAUCCAGCCAUGCCGCGUGAGUGACGAAGGCCUUAGGGUUGUAAAGCUCUUUUGCCCGGGAAGAUAAUGACGGUACCGGGAGAAUAAGCCCCGGCU